AGGUGCUGACUUAAUUUCAUUUGGUUGAUCAUUUUCAACUCAAAGUUCAUUGGGAAUACUCAGACAUUCUCCAGGCUGCAGCAAUCCAGAGAAGCCAAAUCCCACCAAAUUUCAUCCUGUCUUUGGGGCAACUUUGCCGUGCCACCACCCACUGAACCCAGCCCGGACUCGUCUGGCUCCCACUCCACCUGCACCCAUUCUGCUAUCAGCAGAUGGAAAAAUGGAGGCCUCAGGGCUGUGAGGUCAAUAGCAGAGGUCUCUCUGCACAGUUCUCAGAAAAUCAUUAAACUUCAGGAGUUGCCUGGGCUUUGACAUUCUGGGUAAAAGCGCUGUACUGUGAGCCCUUCAAGGAUAAGCCAGAUCUCAGAGUGGCCUGGCAAAGGGCCACACAAAGGAGAUGGCCCAGCCCACUGCAGGAUGCUCCGUGACCCCUCGCCCCUGUCCUUGCCUCAAAGCAGCACCUGGGAGGUCACCGUGGUGACCCAAGAAGAGGAGCAGAAAUCACAGACCUUGCUUCCUUACAGAGAAAACCAAGCAGGCUCCGACUGUUUCCUACACUAAGGAUGUUGGGAAAUGCAUAACAAUUGUGUAAUUCCUAAUAAGGAGGGGUAACCCUUCAGGGGUAAUUACAGCAGCCAAUGUCUCAGCCACAUUUGUGUGACUUGAUUAAAUGUAACAUUGUAAAGGGAGCCGGCACGGUGAAUUUCCAUCCUGACAUCCAAUAAUACUCCCUAACCCUUUGGACAUUGUCCUCCCCGAAGGUCAAAAAUAUGAAUAAAUUAUGGUUCUGACAACCUUGACAUGGAGCAGAGGUGGGGUGAAAAGCUCUCCGGGAAAAAAUUCCGACAUUACAUUUGUGAUCACAGAGAAUAAAGGAAAAUCCAUAUCCUAAUUUUGCUAAAUUUAGGCUUGACGAGGAGAACAGAGAAUAACCUUUGGUGCUAUGUUUAUUCAGAAGGCAAGGGGCCCUCAGAGCUCAAAGCCAAGACACAUCCUGUCAUUCACCAUGAGGCGGGUUCCUAGUUCCUGCUGACAAUUUUUAUUGAUUAGAAAUUAUCAACCCAGGGACAAUGCCAUCCAAAGGAGUUGGCUGAGAAACAAUAUUGUUAAAUAGUUAGCCGUGGUGCUUCCAGUCAGGUAGAAUGUGUGCUCAGAGAGAGCGGGGCCAUCCAUCAUGAGUGAGGAGCCUCAUUUACAGAGACAACUGAGCCCAGGCAAUCAGCCUGAAAUCUGCUAAGCUGGGAAUUUAUAACAGUUCAGCAAGGGAGGGUUGUCUCUU
rnacentral:lncRNA from 1 species